AUAUUGGCUUUAUUAAAAGCUACCUUUGUAACAAUGGAAUUUAUU
rnacentral:ncRNA from 1 species